AUUGAACGCUGGCGGCAGGCCUAACACAUGCAAGUCGAGCGGAUGAAGGGAGCUUGCUCCUGGAUUCAGCGGCGGACGGGUGAGUAAUGCCUAGGAAUCUGCCUGGUAGUGGGGGAUAACGUCCGGAAACGGGCGCUAAUACCGCAUACGUCCUGAGGGAGAAAGUGGGGGAUCUUUGGACCUCACGCUAUCAGAUGAGCCUAGGUCGGAUUAGCUAGUUGGUGGGGUAAAGGCCUACCAAGGCGACGAUCCGUAACUGGUCUGAGAGGAUGAUCAGUCACACUGGAACUGAGACACGGUCCAGACUCCUACAGGAGGCAGCAGUGGGGAAUAUUGGACAAUGGGCGAAAGCCUGAUCCAGCCAUGCCGCGUGUGUGAAGAAGGUCUUCGGAUUGUAAAGCACUUUAAGUUGGGAGGAAGGGCAGUAAGUUAAUACCUUGCUGUUUUGACGUUACCAACAGAAUAAGCACCGGCUAACUUCGUG
rnacentral:rRNA from 1 species